rnacentral:rRNA from 1 species
UACGUAGGGGGCAAGCGUUGUCCGGAUUCAUUGGGCGUAAAGAGCGUGUAGGCGGCCAGGUAGGUCGGUUGUGAAAACUGGAGGCUCAACCUUCAGAGGUCGACCGAAACCAUCUGGCUAGAGUCCGGGAGAGGAGAGUGGAAUUCCUGGUGUAGCGGUGAAAUGCGCAGAUAUCGGGAGGAACACCAGUGGCGAAGGCGGCGACCUGGGCCAAUAUUGACGCUGAGGUGCGAAAGCGUGGGGAGCAAACAGG